AACUGAAGAGUUUGAUCAUGGCUCAGAUUGAACGCUGGCGGCAGGCUUAACACAUGCAAGUCGAGCGGGGGAAGGUAGCUUGCUACUGGACCUAGCGGCGGACGGGUGAGUAAUGCUUAGGAAUCUGCCUAUUAGUGGGGGACAACAUCUCGAAAGGGAUGCUAAUACCGCAUACGUCCUACGGGAGAAA
rnacentral:rRNA from 1 species